rfam:Oat golden stripe virus RNA2 complete genome
CGUGGUCUUCACGAAAGAAGA